UGCCAGCCGCCGCGGUAAGACAGAGGGUGCAAGCGUUAAUCGGAAUUACUGGGCGUAAAGGGCUCGCAGGCGGUUGGCUAAGUCGGAUGUGAAAGCCCCGGGCUUAACCUGGGAUUGUCAUUCGAUACUGGCCGACUAGAGUUGAGUAGAGGAGAGUGGAAUUUCCGGUGUAGCAGUGGAAUGCGUAGAUAUCGGAAGGAACACCAGUGGCGAAGGCGGCUCUCUGGACUCAAACUGACGCUCAUGAGCGAAAGCGUGGGGAGCGAACAGGAUUAGAUA
rnacentral:rRNA from 1 species